GUCUACGGCCACGCCACCCUGAACAAGCCCGAUCCCGUCUGAUCUCGGAAGCUAAGCAGGGUCGGGCCUGGUGAGUACUUGGAUGGGAGACCACCUAGGAAGACCAGGUGCUAUAGGCG
rnacentral:rRNA from 1 species